rnacentral:rRNA from 1 species
UGACCUCGGAUCAGGUAGGAAUACCCGCUGAACUUAAGCAUAUCAAUAAGCGGAGGAAAAGAAACCAACAGGGAUUGCCCUAGUAACGGCGAGUGAAGCGGCAACAGCUCAAAUUUGAAAUCUGGCUACUUUGUAGUCCGAGUUGUAAUUUGUAGAGGAUGCUUUUGGUGAGGUGCUUUCUGAGUUCCCUGGAACGGGACGCCAGAGAGGGUGAGAGCCCCGUACAGUUAGCAACCGAUCCUUUGUAUAGCUCCUUCGACGAGUCGAGUAGUUUGGGAAUGCUGCUCUAAAUGGGAGGUAUAUCUCUUCUAAAGCUAAAUAUAGGCUAGAGACCGAUAGCGCACAAGUAGAGUGAUCGAAAGAUGAAAAGCACUUUGAAAAGAGAGUUAAACAGCACGUGAAAUUGUUGAAAGGGAAGCGCCUAUGACCAGACUUGUUUCUAUCAGUUUUGGUAGUUUUCGGACUGCUUUACUCUGUUAGUACAGGCCAACAUCAGUUUGUUGUCGGGGAGAAAGGCUUAGGGAAUGUGGCU